CGGUAGGUACUCGAGUGGCGAACGGGUGAGCAACACGUGGGUGAUCUGCCCUGCACUCUGGGAUAAGCCUGGGAAACUGGGUCUAAUACCGGAUAGGACCGCACUUUAGUGUGUGUGGUGGAAAGUUUUUUCGGUGUAGGAUGAGCCCGCGGCCUAUCAGCUUGUUGGUGGGGUAAUGGCCUACCAAGGCGGCGACGGGUAGCCGGACUGAGAGGUUGGUCGGCCACAUUGGGACUGAGAUACGGCCCAG
rnacentral:rRNA from 1 species